ensembl:ribozyme RNaseP_nuc Nuclear RNase P
GGAAAAGUUAAAGGGGGCCGAAUACUUUUGCAAGCCACUGUAUGUGCCUCAGGGAAGGUCUGAGACUGGAGCUCCUAGUUGCCCCUGCAGGGCAUCCCUUGGAUGAAGGGGGUGGGUCCCCAGAGAACUUGACUCUGAUUGCCAAUAGGAUACCCCGCUAAUGGAGAUAACGUAUUACCAAUAGGAUACC